rnacentral:rRNA from 1 species
GACUAACGCUGGCGGCGUGCUUAACACAUGCAAGUCUAACGAGAAAGCGGUAGCAAUAUCGUGAGUAAAGUGGCGAACGGGUGAGUAACACGUAACCAAUCUGCCUUGAAGAGGAGGAAAACUGAGGGAAACUUUAGCUAAUCCUCCAUAAUGUGGUGCCUAUCGCAUGAGAACAUCAUUAAAGAUUUACUCGCUUCGGGAAGAGGUUGCGUCUGAUUAGCUAGUUGGCGGGGUAAAGGCCCACCAAGGCGACGAUCAGUAGCUGGUCUGAGAGGAUGAUCAGCCACACUGGGACUGAGAUACGGCCCAGACUCCUACGGGAGGCAGCAGUGAGGAAUAUUGCGCAAUGGGCGAAAGCCUGACGCAGCAACGCCGCGUGUAGGAUGAAGUCUUUCGGGACGUAAACUACUGUUAGAGGGGAAGAAACUCCGGUUACGCCGGGGUGGACGGUACCCUCAGAGAAAGCCACGGCUAACUCUGUGCCAGCAGC